GCGUGAGUAACCUGCCUUUCUANAGGGGGAGUAACAUCCUGAAAAGGAAUGCUAAUACCGCAUAACAUCUUAGUAUCGCAUGGUAUUGAGAUCAAAGGAAGCAAUCCGCUGAGAGAUGGACUCGCGUCCGAUUAGCUAGUUGGCGGGGUAAAGGCCCACCAAGCGACGAUCGGUAGCCGGACUGAGAGGUUGAACGGCCACAUUGGGACUGAGACACGGCCCAGACUCCUACGGGAGGCAGCAUG
rnacentral:rRNA from 1 species